UGCUGGCCCCGGAGGCCGUUAGCUUAGUCAUGGCUCUAAAUAUGUACCUGCAAUCGGAUGUUGAGGAUCACCGAGCCCGCGACGUAGAAGUACGGGAAGUUCAUGCGCAGCUGCCAGGCCAGCUCGAAGAAGGCGAGCAGGGUGCGGGAGAGCCCCUUGCAGAAGACGCCGUACGAGGUUCUCCAGCAUUUGGCUCAAGGCCCCAAGGGCACAUGUGACAAGAAGGCGCCAGCUUUUUAAACAUUGGAAGUUCUUCUGUGUCAGUUCUGUGACAGAACAUUUACUUAACACAUCAUGAAGGCUAGUUUGGAUGUGGAGGGGAAUAGACUCCAUCUAUCCAUAUGAGAGUUGGAGUCUCACUCUGUUAUCCAGGCUGGAGUUCAGUGGUAGGAUCAUGGCUUACUGCAGUCUGGAACUCCUGGGCUCAAACCAUCCUCCCACCUCAGCCUUCUGCUGCAGAAGAAUAUUUUGCCUGCUGGAACCUGCUGUAUCUACUCAAGAGUGGAAGUUUUCACAGGGAGCUGACACGUUUCUCCCAGCACAAAGUUGGGAGUGACACCAGAGCCUCCUGCAAGAUGCUUCUGAUUCUGCUGUCAGUGGCCCUGCUGGCCUUCAGCUCAGCUCAGGAUUUAAAUGAAGAUGUCAGCCAGGAAGAUGUUCCCCUCGUAAUAUCAGAUGGAGGAGACUCUGAGCAGUUCCUAGAUGAGGAGCGUCAGGGACCACCUUUGGGAGGACAGCAAUCUCAACCCUCUGCUGGUGAUGGGAACCAGGAUGAUGGCCCUCAGCAGGGACCACCCCAACAAGGAGGCCAGCAGCAACAAGGUCCACCACCUCCUCAGGGAAAGCCACAAGGACCACCCCAACAGGGAGGCCAUCCCCCUCCUCCUCAAGGAAGGCCACAAGGACCACCCCAACAGGGAGGCCAUCCCCGUCCUCCUCGAGGAAGGCCACAAGGACCACCCCAACAGGGAGGCCAUCAGCAAGGUCCUCCCCCACCUCCUCCUGGAAAGCCCCAGGGACCACCUCCCCAAGGGGGCCGCCCACAAGGACCUCCACAGGGGCAGUCUCCUCAGUAAUCUAGGAUUCAAUGACAGAUGUGAACUAUGAAGACUUUACUUUCACCAUACCAGAUGUAGAGGACUCAAGUCAGAGACCAGAUCAGGGACCCCAGAGACCUCCUCCUGAAGGACUCCUACCUAGACCCCCUGGUGAUAGUGGUAACCAAGAUGAUGGUCCUCAGCAGAGACCACCAAAACCAGGAGGCCAUCACCGCCAUCCUCCCCCACCUCCUUUUCAAAAUCAGCAACGACCACCCCGACGAGGACACCGUCAACUCUCUCUACCCCGAUUUCCUUCUGUCAGCCUGCAGGAAGCAUCAUCAUUCUUCCAGAGGGACAGACCAGCAAGACAUCCCCAGGAGCAACCACUCUGGUAAUCUAGAAUUCAGUGGCAGAAAAUAAAUAAGAAGAUAACUUCCUUCAGAAAGCCAUGACAUUGAAAUAAUGUGGUCAUAACUCUUUCUUCAGUAUACCAAUAAAAUAUUAAUAGCAUGCAA
rnacentral:misc_RNA from 1 species